rnacentral:rRNA from 1 species
AACGAACGCUGGCGGCAGGCCUAACACAUGCAAGUCGAACGCUCCAGCAAUGGAGAGUGGCAGACGGGUGAGUAACGCGUGGGAACCUUCCCAGUGGUACGGAAUAGCUCAGGGAAACUUGAGGUAAUACCGUAUACGCCCUUCGGGGGAAAGAUUUUUCGCCAUUGGAUGGGCCCGCGUCGGAUUAGCUAGUUGGUGAGGUAACGGCUCACCAAGGCGACGAUCCGUAGCUGGUCUGAGAGGAUGAUCAGCCACACUGGGACUGAGACACGGCCCAGACUCCUACGGGAGGCAGCAGUGGGGAAUAUUGGACAAUGGGCGCAAGCCUGAUCCAGCCAUGCCGCGUGAGUGACGAAGGCCUUAGGGUUGUAAAGCUCUUUUGGCGGGGAAGAUAAUGACGGUACCCGCAGAAUAAGCUCCGGCUAACUUCGUGCCAGCAGCCGCCGUAAUAC